GUCCGCCAGACUGAUGUCAAUAUGUGUGAUGUUACGUCCGCCAGACUGAUGUCUAUAUGUCGUGAUGUGACGUCCGCCAGACUGAUGUCAAUAUGUCAUGAUGUGACAUCCGCCAGGCUGAUGUCUAUAUGUUGUGAUGUGACGUCCGCCAGACUGAUGUCAAUAUGUCAUGAUGUAACGUCCGACAGACUGAUGUCAAUAUGUUGUGAUGUUACGUCCGUAUCAUAAAUUCAAACAGCUGCUUCUGGAAACCAGGAGGCACAGAAUAAUACAUUUUGGCCAGUCAUAUUAUGGUAUGUAUGUUGUAACAAGAGGCCCAAUGGGCCUUAACGGUCAUCUGACUACCUUGAGAACAUCAUACUACUAUAGCUAGUAACUAAUGGGGCAUUUCUAGGUACCAGAUCAGAAAGAUGUAACAAGAGGCCCAAAUUGAUCACAUGGCUCUACAGCAACUUUGAAGUAUAUCUAGCCUGACGACGACGGACGAUGCAUGAUGACUAUAGGUCAUCCUGACCCCUUGGGACAGAUGACCUAAUAAAAUCUUAACACAGUUUCGCGAUAUCAAUGAUAAUUUAUUUCUUUAAGCAAAACAAUAUUUUGAAACAAAGAUUACAAGAGUCACCUAUUUUCCAAUGAUUUAAAGUUUCAGUCUGUCAGUUACUUGUGAAAACACUACGUAUGGAUAUACUAUUUAGGACCAUAACAUUAACUUACUUGUUAUCCUAACAUUCUUUACAUAUUCUGUUAUUACAAGUCCCUUUUAUGUUAACAUACUGGCCAAAUCACAUUCAGCCUUUCCAGUGUUAGAUAACAGUUCACUUAACCUAUUACCAACGAAAAUUGUCACAUGUCUUCAUCGACCCUUAUAAUUAUAAUGGGUUUAAAUUGACAUAAUGUACAUGACCCAUUUGAGGGGUACUUUUAAACUAUUCUAAAAAUGCAUACUAACUAUUCAAUAGAUGUUAAUAGAUAAAGUAAAUUAUCUCUUACGAUAUAUAGGCAUAUCCACACUAUUACUGAUGUGAGUUUUCUUUUUUCUCUUACCCUAGACAUAUAUCCACACUUAUGUAACGGGAAUGGAUUUUGCGAGUUAUGUACCUUUGUUUGAGAUUUGUGUCCCUUAGUAGAAGUAUAUAUUUGUGUAUGUAUGACAGUAUUUUGUUGAAUUAUAGUGUAAUUAUUAAUUGUGAGUGUGAAUAUAUGUGUUCAGAAUGCAAAAUAUAUGUAGCAUGAGAGUAUGUAUUUAGUUUGGGAAUGAGUGCGAGUAACUAUGAUUGUGUAUUUUAUAUUGAAAACAGUGUAUGCUAAUCUAUGUGCACCAUUGUGAAUGGAAAAGGUUGCUAGUUUAUAUGUGUGAAUGUAACGAGUAUGUGGGGGAAGUAGUGUCCUAGGCUCGGUUAUAACCGGAACAAGGACGUUAAGCCCCAUCAAUCAAUCAAUCAUAUGUGGGGGAAGUUGUAUGAAGAUAUAGAAGCCAUUGGCUGGUAUCUCUAUGCAAGUUGGUUGUUUACUUCCCUUCUAUUCUUUCCUUUCUACACUUUCCUUACAUAUACACUUAACAGAAGCCAUUUACCUGGUAACUUUCCUUCUGUCUCUCAGUCUAUGGUUUCGGGUAAUAGCUGCCUCGUGUAUGAUAGUGUGGAAGAUGGUUUUAUUCUGUGGUGCUGUAAAUAGUUAUGGUUACUAGUUUUAUAUUGCCAAUGAUGGACUAUUGAAUAAAUGUAGGACCUGUA